rnacentral:rRNA from 1 species
CCUACGGGUGGCUGCAGUGGGGAAUAUUGGACAAUGGGCGAAAGCCUGAUCCAGCCAUGCCGCGUGUGUGAGGAAGGCCUUCGGGUUGUAAAGCACUUUCAGUGGGGAAGAAAGCCUUGGGGCUAAUACCCUCGAGGAAGGACAUCACCCACAGAAGAAGCACCGGCUAACUCCGUGCCAGCAGCCGCGGUAAUACGGAGGGUGCGAGCGUUAAUCGGAAUUACUGGGCGUAAAGCGCGCGUAGGCGGUCUGAUAAGCCGGUUGUGAAAGCCCCGGGCUCAACCUGGGAACGGCAUCCGGAACUGUCAGGCUAGAGUGCAGGAGAGGAAGGUAGAAUUCCCGGUGUAGCGGUGAAAUGCGUAGAGAUCGGGAGGAAUACCAGUGGCGAAGGCGGCCUUCUGGACUGACACUGACGCUGAGGUGCGAAAGCGUGGGUAGCAAACAGGAUUAGAUACCCUAGUAGUC